rnacentral:rRNA from 1 species
AAAGGAAUUGACGGGGGUCCGCACAAGCGGAGGAGCAUGUGGUUUAAUUCGAUGAUACGCGAGGAACCUUACCUGGGCUAGAAUGUUAGUGAUAGAACUUGAAAGGGUUUUUUGGUAGCAAUACUACACGAAACAAGGUGCUGCAUGGCUGUCGUCAGCUCGUGCCGUGAGGUGUUGGGUUAAGUCCCGCAACGAGCGCAACCCUUAUCAUUAGUUGCCAGCGAGUAAUGUCGGGAACUCUAAUGAGACUGCCUACGCAAGUAGAGAGGAAGGUGGGGACGACGUCAAGUCAUCAUGGCCUUUAUGCCCAGGGCUACACACGUGCUACAAUGGCGCGGACAAAGAGUUGCAAGCUGGUGACAGCAAGCUAAUCUCAAAAACCGCGUCUCAGUUCGGAUUGCAGGCUGCAACUCGCCUGCAUGAAGCUGGAUUCGCUAGUAAUCGCAAAUCAGCAAUGUUGCGGUGAAUACGUUCCCGGACCUUGUACACACCGCCCGU